rnacentral:ribozyme from 1 species
AGCCAGGCGAACAGACUUGAGGCCUUCUCGAUGAGCAGCGAC